rnacentral:rRNA from 1 species
UUAUAUUGACAAGCAAAUAUUACUAAAUUAAAUCAUUUUUACAAAAAAUUAAAAAAAUAAUUGUAUUUUUUCUAAAUAAGUAUAUUUUAUAAAAAUCAUUCCCAUUCCCAGUAAUAGAACAAUAGUAUUGUGAAAGAAAUUUUAAAUAACAUUAAAACAAAUUAUAUAAAAGAAAUUAUACAUAUUUAUAUCUCGUGUAUCAUAGAAAAUCAAAAUAAUACCUUAACAGGUCCAUCUCGAAAAAAGAAGAGCUAUAUUAAUAUAAAGCAUUUUGUAUCAUAAAAAUCUUUAAAACUAAUAUAGAAAUGAAAUGUUAAUCGAUUCUUUAUAUCUAGUUUUUAUUAAAAAGAAUUAAAUUCCAAUUAUAUUUAUAAAUAAAUAUAAACAAAGAAAAUGAGGGUAGAGCUUCCUUUUCAAUAAUACAUACGAUAAGAGAAAAUAACCAAAUAAAUAAAAUCUUAGGCUUUUAAGUUGCCAUAUUAGUAAGGUGUUUCAACCAAAAACAAAAUAAAUAAAAUUUAUCAUUCUCUAUCCUACUUAAUUAAAAAUAAAUAUUAACAAUAAACAAUCUAAUUAAAAUGAUUUUACUAGUACAGAAACCAUUAUCUUAUAUAUUUAUUAAUAAAAAUAAAAAAAUAUGUAAACUAAAAGAUUAACAAAAGAAACUCGGCAAAAAAAAUUUCCGCCUGUUUAACAAAAACAUGUCUAUAUGAAUAUAUAUAAAGUCUAGCCUGCCCACUGAUAUUUUAUUAAAGGGCCGCAGUAUUUUGACUGUGCGAAGGUAGCAUAAUCAAUAGUCUCUUAAUUGGGGGCUUGAAUGAAAGGCUGAACGAGAAAUAAACUGUCUCUUAAUAAAAAUCUUGAAUCUUACUUUUAAGUGAAAAGGCUUAAAUAAACUUAAGGGACGAUAAGACCCUAUAAAUCUUUAUAUCAAUUCUUUUUAAUUUAUAUUGUAAGUAUACAAAAAUAAAAAAGAAACAUAUUAUAUUGGGGCGAUAAAGAUAUAAUCACUAACUGUCUUACAUUUAUAACAAUAAUAUUUGAUAACCUUAAGAUCCUUAUUAAAGAAUACAAGAUCAAGUUACUUUAGGGAUAACAGCGUUAUUUUCUUUGAGAGUCCAUAUCGAAAAGAAAGCUUGCGACCUCGAUGUUGAAUUAAAAUUCCCUUAUGGCGCAGAAGUUAUAAAAGGAAGUCUGUUCGACUUUUAAAAUUUUACAUGAUUUGAGUUCAGACCGGCGAGAGCCAGGUCGGUUUCUAUCUUUUAACAAUAAAAAAAUUAUUUUAGUACGAAAGGAUUAGAUAAUUGAGAUAUUCUCAUAAAGCGAAUAAUAUUAAUUCUUAUUUUUAUAAACAUAUAAUACAAUAUUUUCA